AUUGAACGCUAGCGGCAUGCCUUACACAUGCAAGUCGAACGGCAGGCACGGGGGGCAACCCUGGUGGCGAGUGGCGAACGGGUGAGUAAUGCAUCGGAACGUGCCCAUCGAUGGGGGAUAACUGCGCGAAAGCGUUGCUAAUACCGCAUACGACCUACGGGUGAAAGCAGGGGACCGCAAGGCCUUGCGUCGAUGGAGCGGCCGAUGCCGGAUUAGCUAGUUGGUGAGGUAAAGGCUCACCAAGGGCGACGAUCCGUAGCCUGGUCUGAGAGGACGACCCAGCCACACUGGGACUGAGACACGGCCCAGACUCCUACGGGAGGCAGCAGUGGGGAAUCUUGGACAAUGGGCGAAAGCCUGAUCCAGCAAUGCCGCGUGUGGGAAGAAGGCCCUCGGGUUGUAAACCACUUUUGGCGGGAAAGAAAUGGUCUGUGCUAAUACCACGGAUUGAUGACGGUACCCGCAGAAUAAGCACCGGCUAACUACGUG
rnacentral:rRNA from 1 species